CACAGACACACAAAGAAGGCAGCAGAGGGGGCUGGAGCCAGAAGCCAGACGGGCCUCCAGGUCAGGAGUGGAGACGCCACCUCUCCUCAGCCCUGGGGAGGCCCAGAGCUGGGCAGGGUUCGGGGAGUGAGGAGGGAGAAAGGGAAGGGGAAGGGCUGUCCUUCAGGUCUCCUCCACACCGCUCCCUGACGAGCCAGCCACACACAUAGGAAAGUCACCGUAAACAUUUCCCUGCAGAGACGUGGGUUCCCACAGUGGGGUCCUGUGGCUGCAGCGGAACACCCCAGACCAGGAGAUGGAGAACACAGCUGGAGCGGCAGCGGGAGGUGCUAAUCGGGGAAGGAAAAUCGGUGCUAAUUGGGAAGGAAAAGAGAAAACAAGGGGAAAGAGAGCGGGUGCAAGACAGCUGGGAGGAGUGGAAUUCCAGUAGACGUGGGGCCAGGAAAGGAAGCCGGGUGGGAGGAGUGGAAGGGAGUUGUGGGAUCAGGGGUGCGGGGAGUGGAAGGGAGGUGUGGGAUCAGGGGUGGGGGGGAGUGGAAGGGAGACUGGGGCCAGGAAUGGAAGCUGGGUGGGAAGGGAGGCGUGGGAUCUGGGGUGGGAAGAAUGGAAGGGAGGCUGGGAUCAGGGGUGGGAGGAGUGGAAGGGAGGCUGGGGCCAGGAAUGGAAGCUACACCCUCUGAACUGCUACUCCCCAUCCUAAAUAGGUUGCCUGCCUGCGUCCUGACAGCAUCCUCGGCCUUUUUCCCCUCAACUGGACACAUGCAAACCGAUGUCUGGUUUCAUUUUAUCCUUAUCAACAGUUAGCUGUCUGUCAUCAGAAGAUUAAACGGCCAGAAUGUGAUCUUCCCGCAAAUUAAACCGCGAGUGAAAUGUCCACUCUGCCUGAAACAAAUGGAGUCUCAGAAGCUGUGGCAUUAAACAAGAAUCAGACACCUACUGAGACCUCUUUCACAGGCGGCUAUGAUGGCACUUUAACAAAUACUACAAAACUAUCUGUCACUUAUGCAGUGCACAAUUUUUUUAUUUAUACUUGUUUAAUAACAUGAAUUCUUACAUGCAUGAGAACCAUUACACUUUGAAGUCACUUCGUUUCAUGAUUAUUCAUGCCACUUUGUGAACUCCAUGUUUUUAUUUAUUUUUUUUAGAGACGGAGUCUUGCUCUGUCACCCAGGCUAAAGUGCAAUGGCAUGAUCUUGGCUCACUG
rnacentral:lncRNA from 10 species